rnacentral:rRNA from 1 species
AGUGAACGCUGGCGGCGGGCUUAACACAUGCAAGUCGAACGCCCCGCAAGGGGAGUGGCAGACGGGUGAGUAACACGUGGGAACGUACCCUUUGGUUCGGAAUAACUUGGGGAAACUCAAGCUAAUACCGGAUAAGCCCUUAUGGGGAAAGGUUUACUGCCGAAGGAUCGGCCCGCGUCUGAUUAGCUAGUUGGUGAGGUAAUGGCUCACCAAGGCGACGAUCAGUAGCUGGUCUGAGAGGAUGAUCAGCCACACUGGGACUGAGACAUGGCCCAGACUCCUACGGGAGGCAGCAGUGGGGAAUAUUGGACAAUGGGGGCAACCCUGAUCCAGCCAUGCCGCGUGAGUGAUGAAGGCCUUAGGGUUGUAAAGCUCUUUUACCCGGGACGAUAAUGACUGUACCGGGAGAAUAAGCCCCGGCUAACUUCGUGCCAGCAGCCGCAGUAA